rnacentral:rRNA from 1 species
AUUGAACGCUGGCGGCAGGCCUAACACAUGCAAGUCGAGCGGAUGAAGGGAGCUUGCUCCUGGAUUCAGCGGCGGACGGGUGAGUAAUGCCUAGGAAUCUGCCUGGUAGUGGGGGAUAACGUCCGGAAACGGGCGCUAAUACCGCAUACGUCCUGAGGGAGAAAGUGGGGGAUCUUCGGACCUCACGCUAUCAGAUGAGCCUAGGUCGGAUUAGCUAGUUGGUGGGGUAAAGGCCUACCAAGGCGACGAUCCGUAACUGGUCUGAGAGGAUGAUCAGUCACACUGGAACUGAGACACGGUCCAGAGUCCGACGGGAGGCAGCAGUGGGGAAUAUUGGACAAUGGGCGAAAGCCUGAUCCAGCCAAGCCGCGUGUGUGAAGAAGGUCUUCGGAUUGUAAAGCACUUUAAGUUGGGAGGAAGGGCAGUAAGUUAAUACCUUGCUGUUUUGACGUUACCAACAGAAUAAGCACCGGCUAACUUCGUG